rnacentral:lncRNA from 1 species
UUUUUCAAAACACGUGGGCUUCGCCUAGUGAGCAUGACAGUUCAAGAAAUUCCUCUGAGCGUAGGUGAUUCUGGUGGCUUUUCUUGGGGCUCGCUAGACGACCCAUUCUGCUCGCCUAGCGAGCAUGACAGCUCAUGAACAAACUUUUGCUCCUUCAAGAUUAACGUUUUGACUGACGAAUAGACCCCAUUUGAACCUGUUGGAAGUAACUCAAGUCUUUCCCUUUCUAGCGAGCAUGACAGCUCAUGAACAAACUUUUGCUCCUUCAAGAUUAACGUUUUGACUGACGAAUAGACCCCAUUUGAACCUGUUGGAAGUAACUCAAGUCUUUCCCUUGUGUUGAC